AAGUAGCUGGGAUUGCAGACAUAUGCCACUAUGCCUGGCAAAAGGAUACUUUUUAAAAAGUGUCUUAUUACCAGUAUGUUAAAUCUGAAGUGAAGCUAGGUGAUGUCAGAUAGUUGAUAAUUUGAAUCUUGAACUCAAGUGAUAUGCUUCAUCUCAUCAUUACAGACUUGGAAGUCAUUGGUGUAUCCAUAGGUGAUUGAAAUCAGAGAAAAGGACAAGCUGACACAGCAGAAAUGAGUAGAAUGAGGAAAGGGCCCUGAAUGGACCCACAAGGAAAACCAUACAACUUCAGUGAAAGAAGUUUCAUUGAAGUGGCUCGUAUGCAACAAGUAUUAAUAGAAUGUGAGGUGGAAACUGAAAAUUCUUCACUGCCAACUGAAAAGCAAAACUUGGAAAUAGUGUUCUGAUAUAAAUCAGAACUGCAAAAGAUGAGGGUCUCACUUUGUUGCACAGGCUGGUUUCGAACUCUUAGCUUCAAGCGAUCCUCCCACCUUAGCCUCCCAAAGUGUCAGGAUUACAGAUGAGAGCCACCACGCCUGCUGGAUUGCCGUUUUGGAAGUGAAGAACACUAAAGAUUCUGCGAUUCCUGAGUUGAAUUUCUCCUUCCCUUUAGAAUCUGCAUUUCUUGUGAAGGUGAGGAGGAGAAAUCUUUCCUAUACUCUCUAUCCUAAGUUUUGCUUAUCCAAAAAUAUAAAGCACAAGAGAGUUUGUACACAUUAAUCCUAAGAGUCACAUACAAGUAGGGCAAAGGCACACUGAUGCACUGGGUUUCCAGUCCCUUCCAAGCACUGUAUUAAUGCAAUGUCUGCUCCAUUCAGUCUUUACCAUCACACAAAUUAGCCAUUCUUAUCCCUGCCUGCAUGCCUUUGCACAUGCGUCUAUAUCUGCUUGGAUUUAUUAUCACCUAUGAAAACCUUGCCUGUCCUUUAUUGAAAUGAUAAUGCAUUUCUGAGCAUCUAUUGGAUGUUAUGCAUUAUACCAAUCUCUUGGGAUUCAAAGAUAAAUAAGUUGGUUUCUGCAUUAAAGGUAUUUCCUAAUCUAAUUGGGGAGAUAGUUAUGCACAACUGGCUAUGAUGUAGACCAGACUGUUAAAGUGACACAAUAGUGCAAAGGAAUAAGAAAAUUAGAGAAAGGCAUGGUAGAAAUGACCUUUCAGCUGUAUUGAAAGACAAGUACUAAUGUGCACAAAAAAGGAGACAGAGCAUUACAGCACAAACAAAAUCAUAUGAAAGGUGCUGGUUCUAGCAAAUAGCAAAGAUGCUCAUGUAACAACCACGGGGGUGAAAGAUGAUAAAUGGGAGAUGAAGUUGAAGAAGUAAGUUAGAGAUCAAUAAUAGAAGGUAUUGAAUGGUAUCCCCAGAGUUUGAUUUGAUUCUGAAAGCAAUGAGGAGACAUUGAAGGCUUUUGAGCAAAAUGACAUGAUCAGUUUUAGGAAUGUCACAAUAUAAAGGGUUAUUUAGAGAGGAAAGAGACUAAUGGCAAAGAGAUGUUAACUGUACAAACAGUGAGUGGAUGAAAAAGGUGUAGAUUAGAAAGCUAUUUAAGGGGUAGCAGAUAUCAGAUUCGACCCUGUCCCCAAAAUGAAUGCUUACUGAUAAAACAUUAAGUCACACAACUGGGUGAUAGACACUGAGCUAGGUGUUGGGAGUUCCAGGAUGAAUUAAAAGACUUUAUUUUCAAAUGUUUAUAGUCUCAUAGAAAGAGAUAGACAUCUAAAUGAGUACAAAAAUAUACAUAUUAUAAUUAGUCUAUGUUAUGCAUAAGAGUUACAUGAAGCAAUAGGGGUUGCUUCUACACAGAGACAUCAAAAAAUAUAAAUGAGGUGAAACUUCAGCUAAAAACCAUACCUUCUUAUUUUGUUCUUAUAUCUAAGCCUGGAAAAUAGUAAACAUUCAAUAAAUGUGUACAGAUGGUUCCAA